rnacentral:lncRNA from 1 species
ACCUAGAGGGGGGUGAAUAGGUGAAAGGCCAAAAAACCACAAAUCUCGAUGCAAUAAAAAUAAAUGCGGAAAAUAAAAAGCACACCGAGAUUUACGUGGGAAAACUCCAAACUCGGAGUAAAAAACCCACGGGACCAACACGCGAUAACAAUCCACUAAGAAUAAAAGAUUACAAGGUGAUUUACCGAAUCCACGGACUCAAACCUCUCUUCUAUUUUCUCCGGAUCUCGCGCACACCAACGGGUUGUCCACGCCCCACGUCCGAAUCCACGAACGCCACGUCCCGAAUCCACGAAACGUCACCACUUCGAAUCCACGAAGCCUCGAUCACGUCGAAUCCACGACGCCCACUCGAAUCCACGAGCUCACGAUCCGAAUCCACGAACCGUCUUCGUUCACGCCGAAUCCACGACGCCGUUCAUGAAGA